rnacentral:rRNA from 1 species
CAGUAGCCGCGGUAACACGUAGGGUGCGAGCGUUAAUCGGAAUUACUGGGCGUAAAGCGUGCGCAGGCGGUUAUAUAAGACAGAUGUGAAAUCCCCGGGCUCAACCUGGGACCUGCAUUUGUGACUGUAUAGCUAGAGUACGGUAGAGGGGGAUGGAAUUCCGCGUGUAGCAGUGAAAUGCGUAGAUAUGCGGAGGAACACCGAUGGCGAAGGCAAUCCCCUGGCCCUGUACUGACGCUCAUGCACGAAAGCGUGGGGAGCAAACAGGAUUAGAGACCCGCGUAGUCCCUGUCUCUUAUAC